GUACUGAUGAAGAGUCCCAAAUUAGGACGAAACAGCUGUUCAGUAC
rnacentral:hammerhead_ribozyme from 1 species